AGCGAACGCUGGCGGCAGGCUUAACACAUGCAAGUCGAGCGCCCCGCAAGGGGAGCGGCAGACGGGUGAGUAACACGUGGGAACGUACCCUUUGGUUCGGAACAACCCAGGGGAAACUUGGGGCUAAUACCGGAUAAGGUCCGCGAGGAGAAAGAUUUAUCGCCGAAGGAUCGGCCCGCGUCUGAUUAGCUAGUUGGUGUGGUAACGGCGCACCAAGGCGACGAUCAGUAGCUGGUCUGAGAGGAUGAUCAGCCACACUGGGGACUGAGACACGGCCCAGACUCCUACGGGAGGCAG
rnacentral:rRNA from 1 species